CAGCUUGGCUCUUUCCUCUGCAAAAGUUAAUUACUUCAAUACCCUCAUAACCACACUCUCCCACGAACCCAAACGACUAUUUCACACAUUUAACUCUCUUCUUCACCCUGCUGUUCCUCCUCCACCUACUAACUUGACCGCCUCAGACUUUGCAACUCACUUCACUGACAAGAUCUCUACAAUCAGAGAAGAGAUCUCUCAUCUCUCUUCUUCCCCUUACAAUACUUCCCCUAACUUCAC